AAAAGCAACAGAACUCUCCUAAAGUAUUAAAGAAUAAUGAAAAUGAGGAGGAAGAAAAUGAUGAUGAUGAUGAUAAUGAAUGGUUCAUGAAAGAAGUUGGGGAAAAACCAAAAGGAAUGUUUCUGAAGAAACGCAAAACGCUUCAGAAAAUGGAUAGUGUGCCAGCCAAAAAGCCACAUCUGGAUAACAAUGGAAAAUCAGAGAGAAGACAGGGGGAAAAAAUUCCAAAUGAAAAAUGUUUAUCUGAACAGAAAAUGCUUAAUAAGAAGAAAAAGAGAAAACAAUUAUUAAAAUUGAAAAAGACUGAACAAUUGCUAAAAUUCAAAAAGAAGACUAGUAAAAUGCCAAAACAUAAAUUUAAAAAAUCAAAGAAAAACCAGUGAUAAAUGUAAAUUUAAUUUUUUUAUUUUAUAUACUGUACAUAUAUUGACACAAAAUUGUGUAUUUUAUUAAAGUAAAUGAUGAUAUCAAAGUUUGAAAUUUUUUAAUAAAAUAUACAGUCAAUCUGUUCAUAGGAAUGGUUAUUAUUUAAAUUACCCAACGACACACGCUUGAGGAUCUAUUUGCUUAGGAGUGAAAAAAUUCUUAUUCGGUUUUAAAGGAAAAGCAUUGAAAAUUACAGUAACAAAAAGUUUAAUAUUGUGAUAGGAAAAUUAUUUAAAAUGUUAAUUUUUUUUAAAUGAAUUCAGUAUAAUAAUAUAGGAUUAUUAAUAUCUACAAUCUAUGCG
rnacentral:lncRNA from 1 species